rnacentral:rRNA from 1 species
CCUACGGGUGGCUGCAGUGAGGAAUAUUGGUCAAUGGACGAGAGUCUGAACCAGCCAAGUAGCGUGAAGGAUGACUGCCCUAUGGGUUGUAAACUUCUUUUAUAUGGGAAUAAAAUGUUCCACGUGUGGGAUUUUGUAUGUACCCUAUGAAUAAGGAUCGGCUAACUCCGUGCCAGCAGCCGCGGUAAUACGGAGGGUCCGGGCGUUAUCCGGAUUUAUUGGGUUUAAAGGGAGCGUAGGUGGAUUGUUAAGUCAGUUGUGAAAGUUUGCGGCACAACCGUAAAAUUGCAGUUGAAACUGGGAGGCUGGAGUACAGUAGAGGUGGGCGGAAUUCGUGGUGUAGCGGUGAAAUGCUUAGAUAUCACGAAGAACUCCGAUUGCGAAGGCAGUUCACUGGACUGCAACUGACACUGAGGCUCGAAAGUGUGGGUAUCAAACAGGAUUAGAUACCCCAGUAGUC